UGCUAAUUCUAUUGAUGUCAGCUCUAAUAAGUACUAUAAAUAAUGUUUUAAAGAAUCAGCACCUAAUAACAUCAGGUUUUGUGAAAUAAGUUAGGAAUAAACACACACUUGGACUUGAAUCAGAAGUGCCCUUUUGAACCCAUCUUGAGUACUUGAUGAUAUUUUUACUAUCAUUUUACUUAUAAGAUUACAGAACUUGAAGCAGCUUUCUUGACUGCUAAGCACUGUGAUUAGUAAGCACAGAGUUGCACAGUUUGUGUAAAGGACUAGCAUUCUAUAUUGUUUAGUGUUGAUCAGUGUUGGAGAUUCCAUAUUCAACAAGGGGGAAAGACUGCAAGUUGACAAAAUUGGUAAGAAGAAAGCAGCAACAGACCCCCUAAAAUGGAAUUUUCAAAUCACAUACAGUGGUUUUAAUAGUUAAUAGUAUAAGAAUUUUUACUAAAGUGGUAUCCCAAAUUCUCUAAUGUGAGUUUCACAUUUAAUUUCAAAGAAAAAUUUAAUAUCUUGCUUACAUGGGCUAAAAAUAAAGACAUUGGUUAAAAAGACAAAAAUAAAAAUCCUAUAUUAUAUCACAAAGCAAAUCAACUAAUACAGAGAAAACACCAAUUGUAAAACUGAAUUCUCAGGCCAUUAUAAUUUUAAUUUUAUAAUUAUAUCAUUAUAAUUUUCAAGUAUAAUGAUACUUGAAAACAGUAACAUAAAUUAAAAAACAAACCUCUAACCUCUUAAAUGCUCUUCUAAAUAACAAUUAGACCAAAGAAGAAGCCACAAUUAUAGAAGACCUUUAAAAAGAUGAUGCAAAUGAAAGAUAAGUAAUAUUUGAGACAAAGUAUAUAUUUUUCAAAGCUGUAAAUUUAUUGUUUAGACUAUUUUUAUCAUAAAGAUAAAGCAUUCAACUUAAGAUUUUU